CUAAAGCAGUCAUUCUGAAACCCAAUCUGGGGACAGUGCAGACUAAAUAAAAUUUCAUUUUGAUUUGGCCUCCCGCUGAGAAUGGGACUGCUUUGUUUCAGCCGACAGAACCAGCAAGCCAGAAAGGACUUUAGGACUCCAGGGCAACUACUGAUAAUAUUACCAGGGUCAUUGUGGUAGAGGAAAUAUUUUUAUCUGGGCAUCAGGAAAUGGUGGUCUGGCUAGUGACUGCAGUGGUGUGGAUGGUUACAUGAACAGCAUUUACUCAGGGGCAAAGCAUGCCAUCGUUUACCUCUGCCCCAGAAGUCCUGGACUACAAGAACAAAUCCACAUCAAUGCCACCUGGAAAUAUCCAUUGAGGAAGGAUUGUGGAGUCUAGUACCCUGAAACAACCCUUCAACCUGAAGCAAGCUCUACUAUGGAGUAAUCUGCUGAGAAUUUACUGCCCUUUUGGAUAAUACUCCUGGUUUCAUAUAAAAAAGAAGCAAUAUUUUUGGGAUGUCCAAACUUUCAAACCCUGCCUUUGUACUGAGCAUGAAAUGUCUCUUAAAACACAUGCUAUGGGUCCAGAUGAACAUGUCUUCUAGACUUUGAGAAGUAUUUAAAAUACUCCAGCAG